UCGAGCGGUAAGGCCCUUCGGGGUACACGAGCGGCGAACGGGUGAGUAACACGUGGGUGAUCUGCCUCGCACUCUGGGAUAAGCCUGGGAAACUGGGUCUAAUACCGGAUAUGACCACGGAUCGCAUGGUUUGUGGUGGAAAGAUUUAUCGGUGCGAGAUGGGCCCGCGGCCUAUCAGCUUGUUGGUGGGGUAAUGGCCUACCAAGGCGACGACGGGUAGCCGACCUGAGAGGGUGACCGGCCACACUGGGACUGAGACACGGCCCAGACUCCUACGGGAGGCAGCAGUGGGGAAUAUUGCACAAUGGGCGAAAGCCUGAUGCAGCGACGCCGCGUGAGGGAUGACGGCCUUCGGGUUGUAAACCUCUUUCGACAGGGACGAAGCGCAAGUGACGGUACCUGUAGAAGAAGCACCGGCCAACUACGUGCCAGCAGCCG
rnacentral:rRNA from 1 species